AUGCCACCUCCGAGUCUGGACUGCAGCAAGCUCUGUUCCUCCACAGGCCCCCAGUGCUGGGAUUGCAGGAGCACGGCCACCCUGCACUGCCACCUCAGCUCCAGAGCCACCCCCAACAGGACACGGGGGACAGGGACACACAGGGAUGGACAUGGGGAACAGGGAUGGACAGGGAUGGACAGGGAUGGACAUGGGGAACAGGGAUGGACAGGGAUGGACAGGGAUGGACAUAGGGGACAGGGACACACAGGGAUGAACAGGGAUGGACAGGGAUGGACACAGGGGACAGGGACACACAGGGAUGGACAGGGAGGGACACAGGGGACAGGGAUGGACAGGAGAGGACAGAGAGUACAUGGAGAUACAUGGGCUGUACAGGACACAGAGCACACACAGACUGUCCAGGACAGGGUGACACUGCACAGGACACAGUGUCACACCCUGCACAGGACACAGUGUCACACCCUGCUCAGCACAGGACAGUGUCACACAGCACAGGACAGUGUCACACUGCACAGGGUGUCACACCCUGCACAGGACAGUGUCACACUGCACAGGACAGUGUCACACCCUGCACAGGACAGUGUCACCCUGCACAGGACAGUGUCACACACAGCACAGGACAGUGUCACCCUGCACAGGACAGUGUCACACCCUGCACAGGACAGUGUCACACUGCACAGGACAGUGUCACACCCUGCACAGGACACUGUCACACACAGCACAGGACAGUGUCACACUGCACAGGAUGUCACACCCCGCACAGGACAGUGUCACCCUGCACAGGACAGUGUCACACCCUGCACAGGACAGUGUCACACUGCACAGGACAGUGUCACCCUGCACAGGACAGUGUCACACUGCACAGGAUGUCACACCCUGCACAGGACAGUGUCACCCUGCACAGGACAGUGUCACACCCUGCUCAGCACAGGCACAGCUCCCAGGCUGGAGGAGGAACUAAAGCAAGCCUGGCCCCUGCUGGCCCCAGCUCGGCUCCUGCUGCCCAAGCACCACAAACUGGGGCUGAACACCUUCAUCAGCACGCCACAGACUCACUGCAAGAGCUGCUUCAAACAUUAG
rnacentral:lncRNA from 1 species